rnacentral:rRNA from 1 species
GACGAACGCUGGCGGCGUGCUUAACACAUGCAAGUCGAACGGAAAGGCCCUGCUUUUGUGGGGUGCUCGAGUGGCGAACGGGUGAGUAACACGUGAGUAACCUUCCCUUGACUUUGGGAUAACUUCAGGAAACUGGGGCUAAUACCGGAUCGGAGCUCCUGCUGCAUGGUGGGGGUUGGAAAGUUUCGGCGGUUGGGGAUGGACUCGCGGCUUAUCAGCUUGUUGGUGGGGUAGUGGCUUACCAAGGCUUUGACGGGUAGCCGGCCUGAGAGGGUGACCGGGCCAAAGGGGAAUGAGGAAAGGGCCAGAAUCCUAAGGGGGGGAGGAGGGGGGAAAAUUGCAAAAAGGGGGGGAGGCCGAUGGAGGCAAGGCGGGGGGGGGAAGGAGGGCUUCGGGGUGGAAACCGCUUUCGGCUGGGAAGGAGGGGGAGGGAAGGGAAAGGGGAAAGAAGCAACGGCUAACUAAGGU